rnacentral:rRNA from 2 species
GAAACGCCCGGUUACAUUCCGAACCCGGAAGCUAAGCCUUACAGCGCCGAUGGUACUGCAGGGGGGACCCUGUGGGAGAGUAGGACGCCGCCGAAC